UACAGAGGGUGCUAGCGUUGUUCGGAAUCAUUGGGCGUAAAGGGCGUGUAGGCGGUUUGUUAAGUCAUGUGUGAAAUCUCCUUGCUCAACGGGGAGGGUGCGAAGUAGACUAGGGAGCUAGAGGUCGGUAGAGGGGGGUGGAAUUGCUGGUGUAGCGGUGAAAUGCGUAGAGAUCAGCAGGAACACCCGUGGCGAAGGCGGCCCCCUGGGCCGUACCUGACGCUGAGGCGCGAAGGCUAGGGGAGCGAACGGG
rnacentral:rRNA from 1 species